rnacentral:rRNA from 1 species
AUGGACGCCAUGGAGAGAGGACAGAGCUCCCCGCGGCUGCCAAAGAGCCGGGGCUCAAAGAUCGACGAGGAAAGCCUCAGGAUGCCGCUGAUAGAGAGCAAGAAGAGCGGCAGCCGGGCGCCGGCCGUGGUGCUCGGGUUCGAGUGCCUCGAGAGCACGGCCUUCAACGGCGUCGCCACCAACCUGGUGCUCUACCUGGAGAGCGUCCUGCACGGCAGCGGCCUCGCCAGCGCCUCCAACGUCACCACCUGGAUCGGCACCAGCUUCCUCACGCCCGUCCUCGGCGCCAUCCUCGCCGACACCUUCUGGGGCAACUACAACACCAUCCUCGUCUCCCUCGUCGUCUACCUUAUGGGUAUGAUGCUCAUCACCUUCUCUGCGUUACUGCCGACCACCGAGCUGUGCGGGCUGGGCUCGUCGUGCCACCCGAUGUUCGGCGCGCACACCGUCGCCUUCUCCGGCCUCUACCUCGUGGCGUUCGGCAGCGGCGGCGUGCGCGCGGCGCUGCUGCCGUUCGGGGCGGAGCAGUUCGACGACGACAACGCCGUGGACCGGGAGAGGAAGAUGGCAUUCUUCAGCUGGUUCUACAUCUGCGUCGACUUCGGCAUGAUCGUGUCCGGGCUCUUCCUCGUGUGGAUCCAGCAGAACGUCAGCUGGGGCCUCGGCUUCGGCAUCGCCACGGCCUGCAUCGCGCUCGCCUUCGUCGGCUUCGUGCUUUUCACGCCCAUGUACAAGCGUAGCAUGCCCACCGGCAGCCCGUUCAAGAGCCUGUGCCAGGUCGUGGUCGCCGCGUGCAGGAAGGUCACCCUCCGCGUCCCCGCCGACGCCGCCGUCCUCUACGAGGUCAGCGACAAGAUCGACCAGCCCAGAAUCGCGCACACCAAAGAGUUCACGUUCCUCGACAAGGCGGCCGUGGUCGCGGACUCGGACCUGGAGGAGGUGACGAACGCCGACGCCGCGGCGGCGGCCGCGGGCUCGUGGAGGCUGUGCACGGUGACGCAGGUGGAGGAGCUCAAGAUCCUGAUGCGGCUGCUGCCAAUCUGGGCGACGAGCAUCGUGCUGUCCGCGGCGUACGCGCAGCUCAACACCACGUUCGUGCAGCAGGGCAGCGCCAUGGACAUGCGGGUCAUGUCGUUCACCAUCCCGGCCGCGUCCAUGGUGUCCUUCGAGGUGAUCUGCGUCCUGGCGUGGGUGCUCAUCUACGGCUCGGUGAUCGUGCCGGCGCUCAGGAGACUGUCCCCGGCGAGCGGCGAGCCGUCGCAGCUGCGGCGGAUGGGCGCCGGGCGGCUGCUCAUGGCGUUCGCGAUGGCCGUGGCGGCGCUGGUGGAGAUGAGGAGGCUGGAGGCCGCCGGGAGCGGGGAGUCCAUCAGCAUCGGGUGGCAGAUGCCGCAGUACUUUGUGCUGGCCGGCGGGGAGGUGUUCUGCUACAUCGCGCAGCUGGAGUUCUUCUACAGCGAGGCGCCGGAGUCGAUGAAGAGCAUGUGCACGUCCUUCGCGCUGCUCACCGUGGCGCUGGGCAGCUACACGAGCUCGCUGAUCUACGCCGUCGUGAACGCGCUCACGGCCACCGGCGGCCGGCCCGGGUGGAUAUCGGACGACCUCAACGAGGGGCACCUCGACUACUUCUUCUGGACCAUGGCGGCGCUGUGCACGCUCAACUUCGUCGUGUACAGCGCCUUCGCCAGGAACUACCAGGUGAAGACGGUCGUGUCGUGA